UUUCGGAGCUGUGCGGCACGCUGAGCAGGAAUGGCAAUGUGGACCCCUGUGAUGGGACAUCUUGUGGGAUCUUACAGCCAGAUCUGUGGCAAAGGAGGAUGAAGGCUUAUGAGGACUCGUCAGGAAGCUGGAUAACAGAACGAGCGCAAUGUGCUAGAAUAGAAGACCAGAAAAUGAAAUGGUGGAGUUUGAGGCUGGAUAGACAGUUUGAAAGGUACAAAUGAUGGUUUGAAUAAAGAAAGGUAAGCAUUGUAAGUUUGGUAUUUACUAUAUGAAUUAAGGUACUGUUAGUGAUGACCAAUAAAGUUAAACAGAUGGGAAUCUCUCUGAAUAAGAUUGAAGAUUGAUUGUUAAGCUGAAACAGUAUUUAAGAACAUCAGUAAAUAUACAAAUACAUAUUUAUUUCUAAACGGAGUGUAAUUUCUUACAGAUAUUACGCAUGGGUCACCUCAAGUGAAGGCGCUGCAAGCACAAUGAUUGGUCAUUCUGAAUUUCCCGUCCUUCAUUCUGAAUUUCAAAGGCUCCUGUGACAAGUGGACAU
ensembl:processed_transcript growth arrest specific 5